AUUUCAAGGGUUCAGUGAGAAAAUUAGUGUCCGUGUUUGGUAAGGGCUUAACACUGAGCUUUGCUAACAGUAAGUGCUCAGUAAAGUGGAGCUGCUAUAUAACAGUAUUAAUAACUAUUGCUCAGAGACCAGCUACAACCUCAACAGUGAGGCCCCUCUCUGGCAGAAAGAGGGAGUGAGCCCCCCCCCGCCCCCCCUCAGUGGAUACCUGCUCCUGGGCACCCUGCAGCACCUAGAGCUCCGAAAGCCUCUUUCUAGGUUCUCCGGCUCAGGUUGGAGCAGGGGGUGGGGUUUAGCGGGUCCCUAAACGCUGCCUGUUGCAGAGAACUACUCCCUCUCCGAGUAGUUCGAUCUGGAAGGGCAAUUACCCUGCUGCGCAGCGGGGCUCGCUGGAUCUGGCGCGCUCCCCUGUGGUUGGAGGAUCCCCAAACAGCCGCCAGGCCAGCCCCGCCCCUGGGAUCCCGCCAGGUCCCGGAGAGGUGCCUAAAGAGCAGUACGAGAGCCGCCUGCCCACCAACCCCCGGGCGGCAAAGAGAGGGAAAUUGGAUGAGCUUCUCCCCGGGCUUGAGUCCCCGCUCCCAGGCACUGUUUGAUAUCAUCACCCCUCUGCCGGGGCCCUUUCAGAUGUCAAGCUAGGCUCCCGCGUCGCCGAAAGCCGGGCGCCCUCCGGUCCGGGUCUGUUUCCCCACUUCUCCCGGACCAAGGGAUUGGCGCCGGCCAGCAGGUGGCGCUGGCGGCGCUCGGAGACCCAGAGCCGUCUCUGCUCGUCCCGGCGCUGCGGUCAGCCCAGUGCCGCCCGGGGAACCGCGGUCCUGGACGCCGGGCGCCGGCGCCUCCCGGACCCCUGCAGCGCCACGCUGGCGGGAGCCUGCAGCGCUAGGGCCGCGGGCAGGGGCUCCCCCCACCCCGACCCCCCAAGAGCCGGGCGCUUAAAGUCGCCCAUCGGUGUAACAGCCGGGCUGCGUUACCUCCGCGGCGUCCUCGCAGAAAGGCUCGGCUCACCGCCUGAAAGGCCGAAUCUGGGAGUUUUAUGAGUUCCCUACAGUCAGCUGUGACCUGGAAGCAUAUGACCCUCCUUCCAACUCAUCAUGAGGUCAACAGUAGCUUCACGCUGCAUCACAACGCCUACGUCAUUCACCUCACUUCGUCUCAUCACUAGGCAUUUAUCACCUCAUAUUAUCACAAAAGGAAGGAUACCCAGGAAGACUGACGACCAAGAUCUCAUGGGAAAACAAAAAUUGUGAGUCUCCAAGGCAGAACGCUGGAAUGCAAAACUAGUCCAGGGCCUAAGGCAGCUCCACCUACCAAGUUCUUGAUUGCCUUUUCAGCAGACCACACUUCUGCUAGGCAAGUAACUCAUCCUUUCCCUCUCUCCUUCCUCUUUCUCUUCUGCUUUUGCUAUUUUUUCCUGUAUGGGUCAAUUCGGGGAGAGAAUCUGACUGGACUAAUAUGGCCACCGUUGGUCCUGCGGCACAGCUUAACUAGAACCCCAGAUUUGUGCUUAGAGAGCCCCCUUGUGGCCGCUCUCCUAUGUAGGAGGCUUAUGGGCAGACUGGGUAGUGAACCUUUUGGAAAUAGUCCUUUUGUUUAAAAAAAAUCCUUGAUCAAAAUUUCCUCUAUAAACACCAUUUGUUUUCCUGAACAUAAAAGCAAUACCUGUUUGUUUUAGAAAAUUUAGGAAAAUGUGGAGAGGAAAAAAAUUAAAAUGAUCACUUAAUUUUGGUGUAUUUUCUUCGAGUUAAAUAUGCAUGUAUAUAUGCAUACCUACAUGCAUAUAUGAAACAUGUACAAGAUUUAGAAUGAUACACAUUAUAUUCCUUUAAAUUUAUGAUGUAAGAUUUUUCCUAAGUCACACACACAAGAAGAUCUUCAAAAACACCCUUGCUAAUGGCUUUCUCAUCUUCCAACAAGAGAUGAGCCGUCAUCGGCUGCUUCACCAUUGUAGGACAGUUGUUAAUUUUAGCCAGACUUUCUCUGUAUGAAAAUGUAGGCAAGGCGGCUGUGGGGGACGGUUCAGUGUGCUGUGAUUCGGGGCUCUCACCCCCAGGCCUGACUGAGGUGACAGAGCUGGCUUCUGUGUCCAGGCCAGCCCUGGCAGCCCGGACUCCCAUCUGCAGGAACAGAAGCUCAAAGAGGGAGAAGACCUGGCCUGGGGAUUUUUUCGCACACGUUUAUGGGAGGGAGUUGGUGGUAAAGGGUUACAGGAUUAGAGAGCUAAGCUGAAGGGCCGCACCUGGAGGCAGUCCUGCGCACGGAAUUUACAACAGGAGCCUGGGAGUCGUAUAAAUGAGUAAUGCUUCAUGAUGCUCUUUUCCAAGCGAGCUGCAAAAAUUGGCAGGGGCCCUUCAGUGUGCUGUCGAUGUGUCUGGAAUUCAAAUAAUUUGAUUCUGAGAUACAAUGACAAUGGGAAGCAAGGCAUUACCUUGAGAGAAUGAUGGCCGAGACAGCCGCUGCGACCAAUAUUCAUGGAAGAUGCUGUACUAACAACUGUUCUCCAUUUGCCGUCCUCCCUGAAAUCUCUAUCAUGCCUCGUUGCUGUUGCUAUUGCCCUGACUCAAGGGCAUUAAAUUAAAAAGUAAUGUAGCUGGUAAUCCUUUUUUUUUUUUUUUCUUUCCCUAGUCCAGGCAGUGAAGAAUGGGGAACGUGAAAUAAAAACCUUCACUGAAACUGAUAUGUCUCUUUAAAAAAAUGAUGCUGACAUUAGACACAGCUCAGAAGAGCGCAUUUGAAUAUCAGGUGGCAGUACAACGUAUAGCAGAACUUGCUGCUGCUUCUUCUGAAUUUGUCUUUGUUGGCUGAACACGUUAAUAUUUUUCCAAGGUGUAAUAGCUGGGAGGAUUCCAUCAGAAAUAACAGGAGAUCUAGUGAGCCGGGUCCCAUUACCUUUCAGAUCACAAGGCAUCUGGCUUUUGCCAGUUGUCAUUUCCAUCAGGGGAAAUGAUAAGCAGUUUUGGACUUUAUUUGCCCAAAUAUAGCGCUCACACUACCUCUUGUGUGUAAAGUGUUUGGCUUUUCUGAAGCACUUAAAAAAAAAAAAAGCCUUUUUAUCCAUGGCAUAGCAUUCUGGAAAAGAACCCCGGACAGGGACUGUGAGCUAUGGGUCAUGAUUUCUGGUUUGCCAUUGUGGCUUUCUUUCUCUGGAUUUCCUUUCAUCCAUCUAGAAAAGUCUUUCCUUCCAUGUCCCCAGUUCCCUGAUUCUGCUAUCUCAUUUGACUACUUAUUACUAAUAGUAGGAUUGAUAGUUCCCAGAUAUCUUGACUCCACAUUUGCUACAAAAAUCACACUCCUUUAAGGGGUGCCUGGGUGGCUCCGUCGGUUGAGCCUCUGACUUCCGCUCGGCUCAUGAUCUCAUGGCUUGUGAGUUAGAGCCCUGCAUUGGACUCUGUGCUAACAGCCUGCUUUGGAUUCUGUGUCUCCCUCUCUCUCUGCCCCUCCUUUGCUUGUGCUCUUUCUCUCUCUCUCAAAAAUAAACAUUAAAAAAAAUUUUU